rnacentral:rRNA from 1 species
AUUGAACGCUGGCGGCAGGCCUAACACAUGCAAGUCGAGCGGAUGAAGGGGGCUUGCUCCUGGAGUCAGCGGCGGACGGGUGAGUAAUUCCUAGGAAUCUGCCUGGUAGUGGGGGAUAACGUCCGUAAACGGGCGCUAAUACCGCAUACGUCCUGAGGGAGAAAGAGGGGGAUCUUCGGACCUCACGCUAUCAGAUGAGCCUAGGUCGGAUUAGCUAGUUGGUGGGGUAAAGGCCUACCAAGGCGACGAUCCGUAACUGGUCUGAGAGGAUGAUCAGUCACACUGGAACUGAGACACGGUCCAGACUCCUACGGGAGGCAGCAGUGGGGAAUAUUGGACAAUGGGCGGAAGCCUGAUCCAGCCAUGCCGCGUGUGUGAAGAAGGUCUUCGGAUUGUAAAGCACUGUAAGUUGGGAGGAAGGGCAGUAAGUUAAUACCUUGCUGUUUUGACGUUACCAACAGAAUAAGCACCGGCUAACUUCGUG